rnacentral:rRNA from 1 species
GACGAACGCUGGCGGCGUGCUUAACACAUGCAAGUCGAGCGAUGAAGCUCCUUCGGGAGUGGAUUAGCGGCGGACGGGUGAGUAACACGUGGGUAACCUGCCUCAUAGAGGGGAAUAGCCUUCCGAAAGGAAGAUUAAUACCGCAUAAGAUUGUAGUUUCGCAUGAAACAGCAAUUAAAGGAGUAAUCCGCUAUGAGAUGGACCCGCGUCGCAUUAGCUAGUUGGUGAGGUAACGGCUCACCAAGGCGACGAUGCGUAGCCGACCUGAGAGGGUGAUCGGCCACAUUGGGACUGAGACACGGCCCAGACUCCUACGGGUGGCUG